UACGUAGGGGGGCAAGCGUUGUCCGGAUUUAUUGGGCGUAAAGAGCGUGUAGGCGGUUUGGUAGGUCCGUUGUGAAAACUCGAGGCUCAACCUCGAGACGUCGAUGGAAACCGUAUGGUCUAGCGGCGAAGAGGAGAGUGGAAUUCCUGGUGUAGCGGUGAAUGCGCAGAUAUCAGGAAGAACACCCGUGGCGAAGGCGGCGUCUCUGGGACGGUACUGACGCUGAGACGCGAAAGCGUGGGGAGCGAACAGG
rnacentral:rRNA from 1 species